AGCAUUGAAUGCUAGGGAAGCAAGCGAGCAUUUGGCCUCCCCUGAUAAAAAAAAGCAUAAAUAAAUAGCAAUCAGCGUUGAGCUAAACUGAGUGAGCUCAACUGGGAAUGGUCCUGGCGCACCAAAAACAAGUGACAAGGGAAGCGAGUUUGGAUUUGGCUUCACUCCUAUCACAGAGAAACACGUUGUCGAUAGAAACAACUUGAAUUGUUGAAUCUCGUUGUGUUGUUGUCCUCUGGUGACUAGCUAGCUAGCUCAAAUUAUGCCUUUACUAAAUUAGCCAUGGAUGGAGAUAGAGAUUUGGACUUGUGGUUUUAAUUAAUUAUCUGUACUGGCCAAUGAUUAUAACGGCGAUUCGGAUCCAACCAUAAAAUACAUUGUGCCCCUGGACUGAGAGGAUGGAAGUUCAAUAUAUAGUUAGAUGUAGAAGGCUAAUGUUAACUAGCUAACGUUGCCCAUGAAAGGAAGUUAGGCUAGCGAGCAAGCAUUUUAGCCAGGUAGCCUAGGACAACAAAAAAUAAAAGCAUGUACUAUAUGACAGUCAUAAAGAUGGCAUUGGCGUUUCUCUACAAGUAGGGGAUCCUCUGAACACAUCAACAUCUGCCUCCCAUGAAGCAUCGUUACCUAUCGCUCCACAAAAGCCACAGCCCUACUACUUCAAGGUCUCAGAGUAUGUGAUGCACUGCAGCCAUAAAAGAAACACAAACCGGACAAGUAGGCGCACAAUGGAUUAUGGUGACUGCGGGUCCGGGUGUCUGAACCGGAGCAACCUGGCAGGUUCCCCUGCCUCAGCUGGCUCGACGUGUUUCCAUACCUCAGCGGGAAUGAUAGGCUCCCAUGUCUCAACUGGGUGAACAGGUUCUCGUGCCUCGACCGAGGCAACCGGGAGGCCUCAGCCGGUUCAUCAGGUUUCUGCGCCUCAGCGGAGGCAACCGGUCUGCUCCUGAUCCCCGGGAUCGUCCCUGUGGUUGGCGUCCUGCAGGCUGGAGCCGCGCGCCGGGAAGGGGG
rnacentral:lncRNA from 1 species